CUGCGCGGGGACCGCAAGCAGCCAGCCUCCCGGAGCCCGGAGCCUCCCGAAACGUCCUGGAGACGAGCCACGCAGGACGCCCACCUUUGGGUGACGCGAUCCCUUCGGAGGGGACCUUCGAGACCCCGGCCCAGACCCCCGGGCGUUUCCUGGAGCCCCCACCCCUCCUGUCCCCACCUCACUCUCCUCUCCCGCCACUCAGGUGCCUGAUCGCACAAUCUGAGGAUUCGCCCCUUUGGACAAAAUGUUUGCUUUAAUGGCCCCAAAUGGCAGCGGCAGAGAAUGCCCAGUGAAUCACUGAACACAGCAUCUAGCGUCUGGAACGAUGGUGAAUGUGCGAUGGAGAGGACCAUUCGUGGUUUGCAAGUUGGACUACAUCCAGUCCCAGGAAACAAUCCGGGGCCCUGUAUGCAAAGUCACCCCAAAUUUUGCAAAAGGAGCUGAGAAACCAAAGAAUGUGGCAGACAAAUCCAGUUUGUCAGAAAAGGAUAGUUUAUUAGGGAACUUACAGACAGGAGUUUGCUCUUGGGCAGCACAAGACGGGUAUAUCUCCCGCUGUAUGCCUGGGCUUGUAUGCCACAGCGAAAGAGGCUGUGUGCUCUGCAGGGAGGUGACCUUCCAGGAAAAGACAAGAAUGCGAUUUAUGUGUGUCACAGCCUGUAAACUGUGUGAUAACAUCAAACUUGUUUUGACCUGGGGCAGGAUUUAUGGUAAGUACAUACUCUUAUGCAGGGAACGGUGGAGCAGAAAUCUUCACAGGCGUUUCUGGAACUGGGUUAGUCAGAAGCCAACAGGCAGAUCAGCAUCCAGGUUGGAGUUGUGUUAUCUCACAACCACAUUGUGCCACCUUGGCUUCUUUUUGAAGUGGCAGAUAGAAACUUACAAAUAGGGUGGUAUUAAUUAUAUGUAACCUUGUCGGUGCUAUGGAUUCCAGACUCUUUUGACUUUAGUUUGCUCAUUUAAAAAAAAAAUUAAAAAGUCAAGCAACUGGAUUUGUCCUUUAAAAGCAAGAGCUUGCUAAAGGGGUAAAACUUUUACUUUCUCUUAUUUGAUUUUUUGAGACCAAGUUUUGCUCUUGUUGCCCAGGCUGGAGUGCACAUGAUCUCGGCUCACUGCACCCUCUGCCUCCUGGGUUCAAGCAAUUCUCUUGCCUCAGCCUCCCAAGUAGCUGAGGUUACAGGCGUGUGCCAUCACGCCCUGCUAAUAUUUGUAUUUUUAUUAGAGACAGGGUUCUACCAUGUUGAUCAGGCUGGUCUCGAACCUGACCUCAGGUGAUCUGCUGGCCUCGGUCUCUCAAAGUGCUGGGAUUGCAGGUGUGAGCCAGCACACCCAUACAAUUACAUACCAUUUCACAUAUGUUAAAAACUUAUCAAGACCAGGCAUGGUGGCGAAACUCCGUCUCAAAAACAAAAACAAAACAAAGCAAAAACCUUAUCAAAAUGUAUAUUUAAAACAUGUACAGCAUAAUAUAUACCAGUUAUACCUCAAUUAAACUGUGAAAAAAGGGACAAAACUAUAUGCAGACACCUUAAAAAUAGGGUUGCAAAACGCUCAGUGGCUGAUUGCUGCAGUGGUAGUCCAUCUGUAUUCCCAAAUGUGACCUCUUAGAGAACCUUAAUAAGAAUUUUAACCUAGGAAUGUCCCACCCUUAAUCUGAAUUGGAAAUUCUGAUAUUUCCUCCCAUGGAAAUCAGUUAAGGACCCAUACGUAAAACUGAUGCCUAUUCAAUGCUGGUGGCUCUGACCCCCAAGUAGUUCAAGGCCUAGAGAAAUGCUAGUGUCACUGUGGGCUUGGAGAGGCCAACAACCCAGUGAUGUCAUAAACUACCUGAGGCUCACCUGCCACAGGCUGAAGGUCACUGGGACUGCUAAGAAGUGAAGAUAAGGCCCGGCGGUGGCUCAAGCCUGUAAUCCCAGCACUUUGGGAGGCCGAGGCGGGUGGAUCACAAGGUCAAGAGAUCGAGACCAUCCUGGUCAACAUGGUGAAACCCCGUCUCUACUAAAAAAUAUACAAAAAAUUAGCUGGGCAUGGUGGCGCGUGCCUGUAAUCCCAGCUACUCAGGAGGCUGAGGCAGGAGAAUUGCCUGAACCCAGGAGGCGGAGGUUGCCGUGAGCCGAGAUCGCGCCAUUGCACUUCAGCCUGGGUAACAAGAGCAAAACUCCGUCUCAAAAAAAAAAAAAAAACAAGAAGUGAAGAUAAGCCAAGGGGCCAGAGCUCUUCCCACAGAGAGCAGGUGUCAUGCUCCAGUCCUGUGUUGAAGGAUUUUUAAAAACCAAGUAUCAGGCCAGGGGCAGUGGCUCACACCUGUAUCCCAGCACUUUGGGAGGCUGAAGUGAGAGGAUCACUUCAGGUUAGGAGUUUGAAACCAGCCUGGCCAACAUAGUGAAACCCUGUCUCCACUACAAAUACAAAAAUUAGCCAGCCAUGGUGGCAGGCACCUGUAAUCCCAGCUACUCAGGAGGCUGAGGCUGUAGAAUCGCUUGAACCCAGGAAGCUAAGGUUGCAGUGAGCCAAGAUCACACCAUUGCACUCCAGCCUGGGCAGCAGAGUGAGACUCCAUCUCAAAAACAAAACAAACCAAAACCAAAACUAAAAGAACAGGUGUCACAGAAUCAAAUAUUUAGGUAAUGGGAAAAUAGAUCCCAACUCACAGCUCUGAAAUCCAAAGAGCUCUGAAAAUCACAAACUUUUUCUUAACUCCUGACUUGAAUUAAUAUCAAGCUAGAUACAAUCCUUAAUUCUUCCAUUAAGUGGGAAAUGGAUAUACCUUCCUUAGAAAAUUGUAAGUGGUUUGAUUAUAGGGUGCUGCCCACAACAUGCUGAGCGUGCUAUCUAAUAUCACCUGUACCAUAUCACCUUUCUACAAUGCCAAAUUAGUCUGGGUGCUCAUGCCUGUAAUCCCAGCACUUUGGGAGGCCAAGGUGGGAAGAUUUAUUGAGGCCAGGAGUUUGAGACCAGCCUGGGCAAUAUAGUGAGACCCCUUCUUGUCUUAAAAACAAGCCAAAAAAAAACAAAUCAUGAAACAUUUCUGGUCCCUGAGCUUCCCAGAUAAGGGGUUGUAGACAGGUGCUGAUAACCACAUACAUCUAGUGAACACCUGUACUUGAGAUGUUAUCUUGGGAAACGCUCUCAACCCACUUGUAAAGAAGAGAGCAGUAUCCCCUUCUCACCUGGGAGGAAAACUGAAGCUGAGAGGCCUGUGUUAGAGGCCAAGUUAGAAACCACAGAACCCACCCUAGCUAUUUUAAGCAGAAAACAAAUUUAUGGACGGUCACUGGUAGCAGAAUCCUUGGAAGAUCCAGGAAGCUGGCGUCGGGCCCCAGGGCCAGGAAAGGUGCUGAGGUCUCCUUCAGGGAGCUCUAGUCAGCACAUUCUUUCUCCACAACCUCACUGGUACCAAGGAUAUUAAACGGGGUAAUAUUUGCCCAUGAAACUGCUCCCCCCCAAGAUAUCUCAUUGUUGCCUGAUUUGCAUUUCGUGACUGUGAGUUUGGCCAUCCAUUGCUCUAACAACACUUGAAUCUCUUUUUCUAUAAUCACAUCUUUUGUUCCCCACCCCUUUUUUUUGGUCUUACUCUAUUGCCCAGUUUGGAGUGCAGUGGCACGAUCAUAGCUCAUUGCAGCCUCAACUUCCCAGGCUCAAGCUGUCCUCCCAUCUCAGCCUCCCGAGUAGCUGAGACUAUAGAUGGGGGUCACCAUGCCCAACAAAUUUAAAAAAAUAUGGAGAGACGAGGGUCUCACUAAGUUACCCUGGCUGGUCUUAAACUCCUGGGCUCAAGCCAUCCUCCUGCCUCAGCCUCCUAAAAUGCUGGAAUGACAGGUGUGAGCUACCAUGUCUGGCUGUUGCCCUUUUUUGAGUGGGUUAUUGUCUCCUCUAAAAAUUGAUUCAUGUAUCUGUGCUCCCUCCCUGGGCAUUUGAUGCUGGUGACCAGUCCCUGCUCCAGGCACCCACAGGGCAGGACCCACCUUCCUGGAAGCAGUUCCACAAACCUGGGGAACGCCCAGAUGACAAAGGAAGGCAUUGAUUGCAGCCUGGGAUGGUGGAAGCACUCAGCUCCUUCCCUUCAUGGAUUCGUUACUGCCUUGUCUUGCAGAAGAGGACAAGUCACGACUGUGCUUCCGUUUGCUGAUCUCUGGAAAGGCAACCCUGAUGCUUGUGGCGGGUGAACCCCUGGCAAGUUUCCUGUGUUCUCCUCACAGCCUGGGUCACGUGGUGCUUUCUGUCUCUUGAAUCAACUUUGUGACCAAAGCACCGUGCACCGUGCUUUGCAUGGUCCCAACUGUCUGGUUUGUCUGGGACUCGGGGGCUUUUCCAGAUGCGGGACUUUCAGUGCUGGAACUGGGAAAGUCCGGGGUAAAUCAGGAUGAGUCAGCGGCCCUGCCUCGUGCUCUAGAUGAGUAAGGCCUGCAGAGGUCAAGGCUACAGCUCUCUCCACAGAGGGGAUCUUCCCUCACUGUGAGCGCAGAGCAGGAGGCUCC